AUGAAUGGGAAAGACAUCCUGUGUAAGAACAGUCCAUCACUCUUUGUAGGGACAGAGCUGCUGUGGAUGGUGUACACUGAUAUUUUGCUCGUGAAGGGAUUUGGUCAGGUGCCCAAUAUGAUCCAGCAGGAUCCUGCCUUGGAGCCAGGGGUGAGGAUGGUGAGCCCGGCAAAGGGGCCGGCAGAGGUGUCCGGUCAGUGUCAGUGUCCAGUCAGUGUCCAGUCAGUGUCCGUGUCUGGACAGUGUCCGUGUCCAGUCAGUGUCCAUACCCGGGCAGUGUCCAUACCCGGGCAGUGUCCAUACCCGGGCAGUGUCCAUACCUGGGCAGUGUCCAUACCCGGGCAGUGUCCAUACCCGGGCAGUGUCCAUACCUGGACAGUGUCCAUGCCCAGUCAGUGUCCAUACCCUGUCAGUGUCCAUACCCUGUCAGUGUCCAUACCCGGGCAGUGUCCAUACCUGGUCAGUGUCCAUACCUGGACAGUGUCCAUACCCGGGGCUGUCCGUGCGCUGCGGGAGCCGCUCCCCGCUCCCACUGAGAGCGCAGCUCCAUCUGCCGGGGCCCGCCCGGGAACCCAUCCCGGGAACCCCUCCGUGUUCCCAUUUCCCCACAUCCGCGCUCUGUGCUGGCAGUGUUUCCCUGCUCGGUGCUGUGAGCGGUGUUUGCGGGCAGGGCUGGCCCGGGGCGCCGCGGGAAGCGCCACCAAUCCCGGCCGGAGCAUCCCGAGCUGCGCCGGCCGGGCCGGGCCGGGCUCCGUGCGGGGCUCCCGCUCCAGCCCUGCCUGCGCCCAUCGGGGCCAUCACCUCACAGCCUUGGCAGCUCUCCCGUCUUCCCUCUCCUCGGCUUCUUGUUUUAUUUGUGUGUUCCAGAGCUGUGGGCAGAGCCGUGUCUCGCCCGCCCUGCCCAAGCGGGGAUUGCCCGCUGGGCCGGGAGAGAAGCCACAAUUCCUUUGUAGCCAGGGAAAGACCCGAGCGGAUUUUAAGAUGCUGAACCCCCCAGGGCAGCAGAAUGUCAGAGGAAGGUGCACCGGCUCCAUAACGCUCCCAACAAAAAACUGCAGUUUUAAGGAUUAG
rnacentral:lncRNA from 1 species